AGCAGCUAUUACUGAAAAUAGCGGUGUGAAGCGGGGCCACACCAAUAGUGGUGGAUCGCGGCUGCAAUUUAACAGAUAACGGCGGCAAUAACGAAUUACUAUUCCCGUUAUUUUUUAUUACAGUAAAAUUAAAAAAAAACCCUACUUCUUUUAAAAAAAAAAAAUCAAUAGAGAUAAAAGAGAAUAUAUUCCUCACCUGUAAAAUCAGAUAGUUUUCAAUAAAAAAAGUAAAAGAAGUCCAAAUACAACAGAAAAAAAGCAAUCAAAAGCAAUGGAAAAAUAUGAAAUUCUCAUAUUUCAGUUUAGACUUUAGACUCUAAACUCCAAAUGAAACAAAAUCACAACACAACAAAGCUACCGUUGAACCCGAGAAACAAACCCUGAUCACUUGCACAUUCGGAGAUUCAUAAUUUCAAGUAAGUAAAGUACCUGAAAUUUUGUAUCUUGAUUCUUGCUUGUUUUUACUGUAAAAUGCAAAUAUUGUUGUAACUUGUAUCAUGCCCGAAAAGCAGUUGAUAGAUUAGUGAAUAGAUAACAAACAAGUCUUGAAAGUUGAAUCUGUAAAUAUAUUCUUUAGGUUUGAUGAGAGAAGGGGAAAGGUUUUGGAAGGAUGGAUGCCUUGUAUGGGACCAAUGGGUUUUGAAAAAAUUUUGUGGGUUCCAAUGGUUUUGUUGUUUUUGAAUUUUUUAGUGACUGACGGUUGAGAGACUUGAGA
rnacentral:lncRNA from 1 species